CGAGCAAACAAGCAGGCGGGUCACCUGAUGUUAAGUGAUUACCGCCGCCCAUGAACAUUUGCAGUACCAGAGCAGAGAAACCGCCAAAGCGUUGCUGGCCUUUUAGGAAUUUGCUGGUGCGCCCCAUGAAUAAUUUCAUGCUGUAAGCUAGUGGGAA